rnacentral:misc_RNA from 1 species
CAAACCUCAAGCUUUGCUUGUUGUUGGGGCGCUCCGGUUCGCCGGAGGCCCCGAAUCCCAGUGGCGGAGCGCCGUUGGGCUCUGAGCGUAGUACUGUUCUCGCUGCUGAGCCCCGGCGUCGCCUGCCGUAAAAAACCCAUCGAAACUCAAG